rnacentral:rRNA from 1 species
UACGGGGGGGGCAAGCGUUGUUCGGAAUUACUGGGCGUAAAGGGCUCGUAGGUGGCCAACUAAGUCAGACGUGAAAUCCCUCGGCUUAACCGGGGAACUGCGUCUGAUACUGGAUGGCUUGAGUUUGGGAGAGGGAUGCGGAAUUCCAGGUGUAGCGGUGAAAUGCGUAGAUAUCGGGAAGAACACCAGUGGCGAAAGCGCUCUACUGGGCCAUGACUGACACUGAGGGACGAAAGCUAGGGGAGCGAAAGGG